AGAAACUUAGGAUCAUUGACCCAAUCCAGAAGCCUUCAAAGCUUCAAACAAGAGACAGACCUCUUAGUUUCUG
rnacentral:tRNA from 1 species